rnacentral:ncRNA from 1 species
CGAGCGCAACUCGUUUAGUUGCCACUAUGAGUUUGGAACCCUGAACAGACCGCCGGUGUUAAGCCGGAGGAAGGCGAGGAUGAGGCCAAGUCAUCAUGCCCCUUAUGCCCUGGGCGACACACGUGCUACAAUGGGCGGGACAAAGGGUCGCGAUCUCGCGAGGGUGAGCUAACUCCAAAAACCCGUCCUCAGUUCGGAUUGCAGGCUGCAACUCGCC